GGUGAGAAGGGAACAAUUGAGCGUAUUCUCCCUAUAUAAUACAAUUUGUGUUAGUGGACAUUUAUUGCAGCAAACUGUGUGAUAUCCAACAUUGAUUUUGAGACUUUUACUGUCUAAUCCUAGGAGGGUAUCUGAAAAGAAAAUUCGGCCAGUUCGAAUCAGCUGAUUGAAUCACAGAACACUUGAGAAAUCGCGGGAUGAUCUCUUUAAAAAUCAACUCACCCAGUAAAAGCUGCUCCUUAUUGCAUCAUAGAACACUUGUGAUGUUAUCAUUCUAUCGCCAAGGAGGGUGUCUGAAAAGAAAAUUCGCCCAAUUCGAAUCUGCUGAUUGAAUCACAGAACACUUGACAAAUCGCGGGAUGAUCUCUUUAAAAAUCAACUCACCCAGUAAAAGCUGCUCCUUAUUGCAUCAUAGAACACUUGUGAUGUUAUCAUUCUAUCGCCAAGGAGGGUGUCUGAAAAGAAAAUUCGCCCAAUUCGAAUCUGCUGAUUGAAUCACAGAACACUUGACAAAUCGCGGGAUGAUCUCUUUAAAAAUCAACUCACCCAGUAAAAGCUGCUCCUUAUUGCAUCAUAGAACACUUGUGAUGUUAUCAUUCUAUCGCCAAGGUAACUAACAUGGGCAGAGGGUGGUAAGAGCAAGUAAGGGACUUAGAGAGAUCAUUCCUGCAAAGGAAACAAGGAGGCAGGUUGUGGGUGGUGUUUGGGACAGUGGUAUUUUGACAUAGUAUGUAAUGUUAUGUUAUACAAAUAUUGGCUGCGGAUUAUUGUAUUAUGCUGUGAUUUGCGAUAGAUUACUAUGUGGCACUGGGUCUGGGUUUAGAAUUGGCUUCUUGUGGGUUAGUGGGUUACUGUUAAUGCCACGACUAUUUUGUUAUGGAAAUUUCAGUGGUGGAAUGAUAGUUUUGAUAUUCUAUAAUACCCUCUUUCAGAUUAGUUGCUAAUUUUCUCAUGGCUCAUUUACACUUCAAGAUAUUUAUAUUUAUUUUCAAUACUUAGAGAACUCGUUGACUUUUGGAGCCAAUGGCACAAGACCAUAAGAUUCGUCAAGGGAUCUCAGAGAUGUCAUAAGUUUACCCACCCACUUCGCCAUAGGCAAACUUUGGGAUCCACAGAGGAACAGUGAAUAGUUUAAGAUCCCAUAGCCUUGGAAUUAUUUUGUUGAGAAUUUCAUACCUUUCAAAACGUGUUGUGUGCCAGAGAUACAAAAAUUCAUCUGUUGUUCACAUCCUUAGGUUGAGGGCCGGAAUGUACACUUGUAAUCAAUCUAUUUAGAGACAGUUUUGACAUUGGGUGGAAUAUUGUUCAGUUUCUUCAUUUAUAAAAUGAAGAUAGUAAUACAGUCAAUUUCCUGGAGUGGUUGUCAUAUGCAGAUAGGAUAUUCGGAAAGCACUUUGGUAACCUGAAACUAUCGUACAAAUGAGAGAUAUUAUUAUCAUUAUCAGCACUGUUUUUCCCAUUUAUUACAUGCUUAUCACUACUGUGACCUCUUGGAUAGAAAACCAUGGUCUUGAGGUGACAAGGGAACAAUUGAGCGUAUUCUCCCUAUAUAAUACAAUUUGUGUUAGUGGACAUUUAUUGCAGCAAUCUGAGUGAUAUGCAACAUUGAUUUUGAGACUUUUACUGUCUAAUCCUAG